rnacentral:ncRNA from 1 species
UAACUGGAGAGUUUGAUCCUGGCUCAGAACGAACGCUGGCGGCGUGCCUAACACAUGCAAGUCGAACGAGAAAGGGAUCUUCGGAU